rnacentral:misc_RNA from 1 species
AACGGUCUAUACCUGCGGUACCUGCGGAGGGAUCAUUACAGGACUCGCAAGACUCCUACAACCCUGUGAACUUCACUAUAAGCACGUUGCUUCGGCGGGUGUCGCGGCGCGGGUCUUCCCGCACCGGGGCGCUAAGCCCGCCGGCAGCCUACUAUACUCUGUUUCUCUGCGUUGGCAUCUCGAGAAAAAACAAACAAGUUAAAACUUUUAGCAAUGGAUCUCUAGAUCGGAAGAGCACAC